rnacentral:rRNA from 1 species
AUUGAACGCUGGCGGCAGGCCUAACACAUGCAAGUCGAACGCGUGGCGGACGGGUGAGUAAUGUCUGGGAAACUGCCUGAUGGCGGGGGAUAACUACUGGAAACGGUAGCUCAUACCGCAUACCAUCAGAUGUGCCCAGAUGGGAUUAGCUGGUUGGUGGGGUAACGGGUCACCAAGGCGACGAUCCCUAGCUGGUCUGAGAGGAAGAGCAGGCACACUGGAAAUGGGACACGGUCCAGACGCCUACGGGAGGAAGCAGUGGGGAAGAUGGCACAAUGGGAGAAAGCCUGAUGCAGCCAUGCCGGGUGUAUGAAGAAGGCCUUCGGGUUGUAAAGUACUGUCAGCGGGGAGGCGUUACCCGCAGAAGAAGCACCGGCUAACUCCGUGCCAGCAGCCGCGGUAAUAC